rnacentral:rRNA from 1 species
AGAUUAAGUUAUUAAGGGCGCACGGUGGAUGCCUUGGCACUAGAAGCCGAUGAAGGACGUUACUAACGACGAUAUGCUUUGGGGAGCUGUAAGUAAGCUUUGAUCCAGAGAUUUCCGAAUGGGGAAACCCAGCAUGAGUUAUGUCAUGUUAUCGAUAUGUGAAUACAUAGCAUAUCAGAAGGCACACCCGGAGAACUGAAACAUCUUAGUACCCGGAGGAAGAGAAAGAAAAUUCGAUUCCCUUAGUAGCGGCGAGCGAAACGGGAAGAGCCCAAACCAACAAGCUUGCUUGUUGGGGUUGUAGGACACUCUAUACGGAGUUACAAAGGACGACAUUAGACGAAUCAUCUGGAAAGAUGAAUCAAAGAAGGUAAUAAUCCUGUAGUCGAAAAUGUUGUCUCUCUUGAGUGGAUCCUGAGUACGACGGAGCACGUGAAAUUCCGUCGGAAUCUGGGAGGACCAUCUCCUAAGGCUAAAUACUCUCUAGUGACCGAUAGUGAACCAGUACCGUGAGGGAAAGGUGAAAAGCACCCCGGAAGGGGAGUGAAAUAGAACCUGAAACCGUGUGCUUACAAGUAGUCAGAGCCCGUUAAUGGGUGAUGGCGUGCCUUUUGUAGAAUGAACCGGCGAGUUACGAUUUGAUGCAAGGUUAAGCAGUAAAUGUGGAGCCGUAGCGAAAGCGAGUCUGAAUAGGGCGUUUAGUAUUUGGUCGUAGACCCGAAACCAGGUGAUCUACCCUUGGUCAGGUUGAAGUUCAGGUAACACUGAAUGGAGGACCGAACCGACUUACGUUGAAAAGUGAGCGGAUGAACUGAGGGUAGCGGAGAAAUUCCAAUCGAACCUGGAGAUAGCUGGUUCUCUCCGAAAUAGCUUUAGGGCUAGCCUCAAGUGAUGAUUAUUGGAGGUAGAGCACUGUUUGGACGAGGGGCCCCUCUCGGGUUACCGAAUUCAGACAAACUCCGAAUGCCAAUUAAUUUAACUUGGGAGUCAGAACAUGGGUGAUAAGGUCCGUGUUCGAAAGGGAAACAGCCCAGACCACCAGCUAAGGUCCCAAAAUAUAUGUUAAGUGGAAAAGGAUGUGGCGUUGCCCAGACAACUAGGAUGUUGGCUUAGAAGCAGCCAUCAUUUAAAGAGUGCGUAAUAGCUCACUAGUCGAGUGACACUGCGCCGAAAAUGUACCGGGGCUAAACAUAUUACCGAAGCUGUGGAUUGUCCUUUGGACAAUGGUAGGAGAGCGUUCUAAGGGCGUUGAAGCAUGAUCGUAAGGACAUGUGGAGCGCUUAGAAGUGAGAAUGCCGGUGUGAGUAGCGAAAGACGGGUGAGAAUCCCGUCCACCGAUUGACUAAGGUUUCCAGAGGAAGGCUCGUCCGCUCUGGGUUAGUCGGGUCCUAAGCUGAGGCCGACAGGCGUAGGCGAUGGAUAACAGGUUGAUAUUCCUGUACCACCUAUAAUCGUUUUAAUCGAUGGGGGGGACGCAGUAGGAUAGGCGAAGCGUGCGAUUGGAUUGCACGUCUAAGCAGUAAGGCUGAGUAUUAGGCAAAUCCGGUACUCAUUAAGGCUGAGCUGUGAUGGGGAGAAGACAUUGUGUCUUCGAGUCGUUGAUUUCACACUGCCGAGAAAAGCCUCUAGAUAGAAAAUAGGUGCCCGUACCGCAAACCGACACAGGUAGUCAAGAUGAGAAUUCUAAGGUGAGCGAGCGAACUCUCGUUAAGGAACUCGGCAAAAUGACCCCGUAACUUCGGGAGAAGGGGUGCUCUUUAGGGUUAACGCCCAGAAGAGCCGCAGUGAAUAGGCCCAAGCGACUGUUUAUCAAAAACACAGGUCUCUGCUAAACCGUAAGGUGAUGUAUAGGGGCUGACGCCUGCCCGGUGCUGGAAGGUUAAGAGGAGUGGUUAGCUUCUGCGAAGCUACGAAUCGAAGCCCCAGUAAACGGCGGCCGUAACUAUAACGGUCCUAAGGUAGCGAAAUUCCUUGUCGGGUAAGUUCCGACCCGCACGAAAGGCGUAACGAUUUGGGCACUGUCUCAACGAGAGACUCGGUGAAAUCAUAGUACCUGUGAAGAUGCAGGUUACCCGCGACAGGACGGAAAGACCCCGUGGAGCUUUACUGUAGCCUGAUAUUGAAAUUCGGCACAGCUUGUACAGGAUAGGUAGGAGCCUUUGAAACGUGAGCGCUAGCUUACGUGGAGGCGCUGGUGGGAUACUACCCUAGCUGUGUUGGCUUUCUAACCCGCACCACUUAUCGUGGUGGGAGACAGUGUCAGGCGGGCAGUUUGACUGGGGCGGUCGCCUCCUAAAAGGUAACGGAGGCGCUCAAAGGUUCCCUCAGAAUGGUUGGAAAUCAUUCAUAGAGUGUAAAGGCAUAAGGGAGCUUGACUGCGAGACCUACAAGUCGAGCAGGGUCGAAAGACGGACUUAGUGAUCCGGUGGUUCCGCAUGGAAGGGCCAUCGCUCAACGGAUAAAAGCUACCCCGGGGAUAACAGGCUUAUCUCCCCCAAGAGUUCACAUCGACGGGGAGGUUUGGCACCUCGAUGUCGGCUCAUCGCAUCCUGGGGCUGUAGUCGGUCCCAAGGGUUGGGCUGUUCGCCCAUUAAAGCGGUACGCGAGCUGGGUUCAGAACGUCGUGAGACAGUUCGGUCCCUAUCCGUCGUGGGCGUAGGAAAUUUGAGAGGAGCUGUCCUUAGUACGAGAGGACCGGGAUGGACAUACCUCUGGUGUACCAGUUGUCGUGCCAACGGCAUAGCUGGGUAGCUAUGUGUGGACGGGAUAAGUGCUGAAAGCAUCUAAGCAUGAAGCCCCCCUCAAGAUGAGAUUUCCCAACUUCGGUUAUAAGAUCCCUCAAAGAUGAUGAGGUUAAUAGGUUCGAGGUGGAAGCAUGGUGACAUGUGGAGCUGACGAAUACUAAUCGAUCGAAGACUUAAUCAAAUU